CCCCCUGCCUGCUGCCACUUGAGGGGGAGGCCCUGCUCCCCGCAGGUCCCCAUCACAUCUCCUCACAAAACAUCACCACUGCACUGAACUUUUGCCUUUUGCACAAGUUCAAGCUCCUGCCUGACUGGAAUUUUUCUCCCUUGAAUGCAGCUGUCCAGGUGCAGAAGAGAAGGCUUCUUGAACUCUCCUCUUCUCCAAGAGUAAGGCCACUGGGAUAGCCUGCAAGACAGAAAAACAUCACAGAAAACUGUUCUCUUGGCUUUGCUUCAGAACAGAGAAAAAUCAACUUUCCCAGCCUUCUCUACCUCAGAGUUUGCCAUGGGGCCCAGCAGCAGUCUGGCAGCAUGGACAGAGGCCAGUCUGCACCAGAGAAUACCAGGAUGGACAGCAGAGAUGAAUCUUUGUGGAAAGAGAACAGAAGAGAGUCCCAGAGCCACAGCAGCUGGAUCUUCAGGAAUGUCCCUGGAGACUGCACUGACUGGAGCUCUCAGGCAGGAGCUCGGCAGCACGAGAAAUGUUUGAGUGAUGCUGCAGCCUCCUCUCAUUCCAUAAGAGCCAUCCUUUAACCUCAGCUUCUCUCAGUGCACUGAGAGAGUAUUCUGAGGUUUGUUCUUCAAUGUCAAACAGAAAUAAGUUCAAUGAUUAAAAAAAGCCCUGUUUGACAUGUAUUUAUAAAAACAAUAUCACAUUUGUUUAAGAGGCAACCAUAUUGCUCAAUGCAAUGCCAACACUAAAAAGACACAAAAUACAGACAACUAAAAACUUUAACAGAUUAAAGCAUAUGAACAGGAAAUACAAAAAUGAUUGACAGUGACUGUUGAUAACUAACUGAUAAAAAACUAAGUUUAUUUGUAAAUAACAGUAUCCCAACUCAUAAUAAUUUACAUUUUAAGAAAUUCAGCCAUCAAGCCUGUAAUACAAAUUUCCUGUUUGUCAUUUUCUCCCUCAAUUUGAAAGCUUUCUCAUGCUUGUUGUACAACUGGGAAAAUUCUUCAGCAUCACCCAAGUUUGGCAUCAAACCUAGCAUGAUAGGUUGCACAGAUAUAUUAACUGAGAUAAAUUAAUUAGUUCAAGUCCUAUUGUAGAUCCUGUUGUAGAUUACAAAUAUCUGUAUGUUAGGAGUGUCUGUGGCAAUCAGCACUCAGUCAGUUUUGAAAUAUAUAACUUCCUAAACAAAAGCACAGCAUUAAAAAAACUCACACAGGCUUUUUUCCUAACAAGCCUUUGGUGUUAAAUGACAUUACUCUAGAUUUAUCAAAAUAAUGAAGAUGUGUUCAGCUUAUGUUAUGAUCUCCUACUUUAGCUGAGUGAACUCACAAAAAGAAACAGUUACUGUGUUUACUAUUAUUUAUUUUUAUUAUUAUCAUUAUUUCAAUAAUAGUGAAAUGCAGAUAAGUAUUUGGCUAGUGGAAAUUUUAGCAUGAGCUCCAAAUAUUUCACACAUAUUUAGCAUACUGAUUCCAGACACGGAGAAACAAAUUAGCAGAUAAGUAUUGUCAUAAUCAUUAGUUAAAAUACUCUGAUACAAACUAGUGUCAGCUCCCACUUUCAGAGCCAAGGAAAAUAUUCAUAAGCUUUUACUUCCUAUAGUAGAAAAUUCACUGUUAACUAGGAUUCAAAUCCCAUGUGUUCAGUCUCCCUACAAAUACAAGUCCUCUUUUAGGGAUUCUAUCAAAAAGCUCUCACUGGUAAAAAAAAAAAUAAUAGAAAUACACCAUGAUAAAAUGCCUUUAAUCAGAAGGAGCUAAAGGUAUUGAAACCUGCAACAGCAGCUGCAGAAAAAAAUAAUCAUAAGUGCAGCUGACCUUCAUUUCUUGUAGUCACAGUCAUCUGAGACGAUAUUAUUUUCUCUUAAAUUAUAAAACACACAAUUAUUGAUUCUUUUUGCAUGUUUCUUACCUCUUAUAUACCACACACUUUAACACACAUAUAUUUUGUAACUUUGCAUUAAAAUAAUAGUUAGAUGAUAACGAGGUAAGGUAGACCAAUUUAAAACCUUGUAAGGCCAUUAAGAACUUACUAGUAGAAAAACAGAAGCUAGCAGAAGAAAUUAUUCACCACACUUUCACAUCUGGGCUUGCAAAAGUAUCUUCUGCAACUCUCGUGC